rnacentral:tRNA from 1 species
ACCUGGCUGGCUCAGCGGGAAGAGCAUGUGACUCUUGAUCUUGGGGUUGUGAGUUUGAGUCCCACAUUGGGUA